rfam:Triticum urartu cultivar G1812 contig463270, whole genome shotgun sequence.
UAUCUACUCCCUCCGUUCCGAAUUACUCGUCGCAGAAAUGGAUGUAUCUAAAUGUAUUUUAGUUCUAGAUACAUCCAUUUCUGCGACGAGUAAUUUGGAACGGAGGGAGUACUUC